rnacentral:rRNA from 1 species
UACGUAGGGGGCUAGCGUUGUCCGGAAUCAUUGGGCGUAAAGAGCGCGUAGGCGGCUGGAAUAGUCCGGUGUGAAAUCCACAGGCUUAACCUGUGAAUGCCGCUGGAAACUGUCUGGCUAGAGUCCGGAAGGGGCGAGUGGAAUUCCUGGUGUAGCGGUGAAAUGCGCAGAUAUCAGGAGGAACACCAAUGGCGAAGGCAGCUCGCUGGGACGGUACUGACGCUGAGGCGCGAAAGCGUGGGGAGCGAACAGG